rnacentral:tRNA from 1 species
GCAGGUGUGGCGGAAUUGGCAGACGCACUGGAUUCAAAAUCCAGCGCCCUUCGGGGCAUGAGGGUUCAAGUCCCUCCACCUGCA